GUCUGGAAGGCUCAACCGGCUCUGCCGGUGUAUUCCCUCCAGAUGGGUCAACAUCAGUUUGGACCGGUGGAAAAGGGCGGUGAGAACGUAGCACCUCCGGGUGUGUUAUAGCUCGCUGUCGCAUACAUUGGUCCAGACUGAGGAAUGCAGCUCGCCUUUAUGGCCGGGAUUUAUCCACGUUCGAGCUUAGGAUGUUGACAUAAUGGCUUUAAACGACCCGUCUUGAAACACGGACCAAGGAGUCUAACAUAUGUGCGAGUGUUUGGGUGUCAAACCCGGACGCGUAAUGAAAGUGAACGUAGGAGGGAUCCGCAAGGAGCACCUUCGACCGAUCUGGAUCUUUUGUGAUGGAUUUGAGUAAGAGCAUAUAUGCUGGGACCCGAAAGAUGGUGAACUAUGCCUGAAUAGGGCGAAGCCAGGGGAAACUCUGGUGGAGGCUCGUAGCGAUUCUGACGUGCAAAUCGAUCGUCAAAUUUGGGUAUAGGGGCGAAAGACUAAUCGAACUAUCUAGUAGCUGGUUCCUGCCGAAGUUC
rnacentral:rRNA from 1 species